AAAUUGAAGAGUUUGAUCAUGGCUCAGAUUGAACGCUGGCGGCAGGCCUAACACAUGCAAGUCGAACGGUAACAGGAAGCAGCUUGCUGCUUCGCUGACGAGUGGCGGACGGGUGAGUAAUGUCUGGGAAACUGCCUGAUGGAGGGGGAUAACUACUGGAAACGGUAGCUAAUACCGCAUAAUGUCGCAAGACCAAAGAGGGGGACCUUCGGGCCUCUUGCCAUCGGAUGUGCCCAGAUGGGAUUAGCUUGUUGGUGGGGUAACGGCUCACCAAGGCGACGAUCCCUAGCUGGUCUGAGAGGAUGACCAGCCACACUGGAACUGAGACACGGUCCAGACUCCUACGGGAGGCAGCAGUGGGGAAUAUUGCACAAUGGGCGCAAGCCUGAUGCAGCCAUGCCGCGUGUAUGAAGAAGGCCUUCGGGUUGUAAAGUACUUUCAGCGGGGAGGAAGGGAGUAAAGUUAAUACCUUUGCUCAUUGACGUUACCCGCAGAAGAAGCACCGGCUAACUCCGUGCCAGCAGCCGCGGUAAUACGGAGGGUGCAAGCGUUAAUCGGAAUUACUGGGCGUAAAGCGCACGCAGGCGGUUUGUUAAGUCAGAUGUGAAAUCCCCGGGCUCAACCUGGGAACUGCAUCUGAUACUGGCAAGCUUGAGUCUCGUAGAGGGGGGUAGAAUUCCAGGUGUAGCGGUGAAAUGCGUAGAGAUCUGGAGGAAUACCGGUGGCGAAGGCGGCCCCCUGGACGAAGACUGACGCUCAGGUGCGAAAGCGUGGGGAGCAAACAGGAUUAGAUACCCUGGUAGUCCACGCCGUAAACGAUGUCGACUUGGAGGUUGUGCCCUUGAGGCGUGGCUUCCGGAGCUAACGCGUUAAGUCGACCGCCUGGGGAGUACGGCCGCAAGGUUAAAACUCAAAUGAAUUGACGGGGGCCCGCACAAGCGGUGGAGCAUGUGGUUUAAUUCGAUGCAACGCGAAGAACCUUACCUGGUCUUGACAUCCACGGAAGUUUUCAGAGAUGAGAAUGUGCCUUCGGGAACCGUGAGACAGGUGCUGCAUGGCUGUCGUCAGCUCGUGUUGUGAAAUGUUGGGUUAAGUCCCGCAACGAGCGCAACCCUUAUCCUUUGUUGCCAGCGGUCCGGCCGGGAACUCAAAGGAGACUGCCAGUGAUAAACUGGAGGAAGGUGGGGACGACGUCAAGUCAUCAUGGCCCUUACGACCAGGGCUACACACGUGCUACAAUGGCGCAUACAAAGAGAAGCGACCUCGCGAGAGCAAGCGGACCUCAUAAAGUGCGUCGUAGUCCGGAUUGGAGUCUGCAACUCGACUCCAUGAAGUCGGAAUCGCUAGUAAUCGUGGAUCAGAAUGCCACGGUGAAUACGUUCCCGGGCCUUGUACACACCGCCCGUCACACCAUGGGAGUGGGUUGCAAAAGAAGUAGGUAGCUUAACCUUCGGGAGGGCGCUUACCACUUUGUGAUUCAUGACUGGGGUGAAGUCGUAACAAGGUAACCGUAGGGGAACCUGCGGUUGGAUCACCUCCUUA
rnacentral:rRNA from 1 species